rnacentral:rRNA from 1 species
UGGGCGAAAGCCUGACGGAGCAACGCCGCGUGGGGGAGGAAGGUCCUUGGAUUGUAAACCUCUUUUCUCAAGGGAGAAGAAAAUGACGGUACUUGAGGAAUAAGCAUCGGCUAACUCCGUGCCAGCAGCCGCGGUAAUACGGAGGAUGCAAGCGUUAUCCGGAAUCAUUGGGCGUAAAGCGUCCGCAGGUGGUAAUGUAAGUUCUUAGUUAAAGACAGAAGCUCAACUUCUGAAAGGCUAAGAAAACUGCAUAACUAGAGGCAGGUAGGGGUAGCAGGAAUUCCCAGUGUAGCGGUGAAAUGCGUAGAGAUUGGGAAGAACAUCGGUGGCGAAAGCGUGCUACUGGGCUGAGCCUGACACUGAGGGACGAAAGCUAGGGGAGCGAAAGGGAUUAGAUACCCCUGUAGUCCUAGCCGUAAACGAUGGAAACUAGGCGUAGCUUGUAUCGACCCAAGCUGUGCCGAAGCCAACGCGUUAAGUUUCCCGCCUGGGGAGUACGCACGCAAGUGUGAAACUCAAAGGAAUUGACGGGGGCCCGCACAGGCGGUGGAGUGUGUGGUUUAAUUCGAUGCAACGCGAAGAACCUUACCAAGGCUUGACAUCUGACGAAUCUCCUUGAAAGGGGAGAGUGCCUUCGGGAGCGUCAAGACAGGUGGUGCAUGGCUGUCGUCAGCUCGUGUCGUGAGAUGUUGGGUUAAGUCCCGCAACGAGCGCAACCCUCGUUUUUAGUUGCCAUCAUUAAGUUGGGCACUCUAGAGAGACUGCCGGUGACAAACCGGAGGAAGGUGGGGAUGACGUCAAGUCAGCAUGCCCCUUACGCCUUGGGCUACACACGUACUACAAUGGUCGGGACAAAGGGCAGCAAGCUAGCGAUAGUAAACGAAUCUCAUCAAACCCGGCCUCAGUUCAGAUUGCAGGCUGCAACUCGCCUGCAUGAAGGAGGAAUCGCUAGUAAUCACAGGUCAGCAUACUGCGGUGAAUCCGUUCCCGGGCCUUGUACACACCGCCCGUCACACCAUGGGAGCUGGCCACGCCCGAAGUCGUUACCCUAACCCGUAAGGGAGGGGGAUGCCGAAGGCAGGGCUAGUGACUGGGGUGAAGUCGUAACAAGGUAGCCGUACCGGAAGGUGUGGCUG